GGGCGUAUAGCUCAGCUGGCUAGAGUGCCACAUUGACAUUGUGGAAGUCACUGGUUCGAGUCCAGUUACGCCCA
rnacentral:tRNA from 1 species